AGGGCACCACCAGGAGUGGAGCCUGCGGCUUAAUUUGACUCAACACGGGAAAACUUACCCGGCCCGGACACUGGAAGGAUUGACAGAUUGAGAGCUCUUUCUUGAUUCAGUGGGUGGUGGUGCAUGGCCGUUCUUAGUUGGUGGAGCGAUUUGUCUGGUUAAUUCCGAUAACGAACGAGACUCUAGCCUACUAAAUAGACCAGAGGCUUCUUAAAACACGUCUCUGGCUGCUUCUUAGAGGGACAGGCGGCGAUUCAGCCGCACGAAACAGAGCAAUAACAGGUCUGUGAUGCCCUUAGAUGUCCGGGGCCGCACGCGCGCUACACUGAAGUGAUCAGCGUGCUUUCUGUACCCUGCUCUGCCAAGAGUGGGUAACCCAAUGAACCUUCUUCGUGAUUGGGAUAGGGGAUUGUAAUUAUUCCCCUUGAACGAGGAAUUCCCAGUAAGCGCGAGUCAUAAGCUCGCGUUGAUUACGUCCCUGCCCUUUGUACACACCGCCCGUCGCUACUACCGAUUGAA
rnacentral:rRNA from 1 species